UAACCUGAAAAACAAAGUCAAAAUAAUAUUGGAAUGGUUCCUUCCCUCCAUUUGCAAACAGGUCUCUCAGGCUUUGGAAAAACCCACUCAGCAGCCUACCACAGCAGCAACACCAACAGCUCUUUAGCUUUGUGGACUGAAAACAGAUAUACACAACGGCGAAUAGUUCAUGAAAGCUAAUCCAUGUGAUAAAAGCCCUUAGUUUAACAACCAGCAAAAAAAAAAAAUUAAACAAGCCCUGUUCUGAAGGAGGUCUGGGACGACAGGAUGAUCCGUGCCACAAUGGCAUGGCACUCUUACAGAACCUCUACCUUCAGCAGCCAGGCAGGAGCUCCCUUAUCUCAUGCCUGCUCCUCACAUUGACUAAGAGAUUGGAGUCCAGGAACCAUACCAGGAAGUUGCCAGAUUUCACCAGCUAAAGAGACAGUUCAUAGAAGGACUAAGCUUGUGAUGUCUUUCAAGACACAUGUGGAAACGUCCAAGUGUGGCACAUGUUCUCCCUGUCCAG